CCUACGGGAGACAGCAGUGAGGAAUAUUGGUCAAUGGGCGCGAGCCUGAACCAGCCAAGUCGCGUGAGGGAAGACGGUCCUAUGGAUUGUAAACCUCUUUUGUCGGGGAGCAAACUACGCCACGCGUGUCGUUCCGAGAGUACCCGACGAAAAAGCAUCGGCUAACUCCGUGCCAGCAGCCGCGGUAAUACGGAGGAUGCGAGCGUUAUCCGGAUUUAUUGGGUUUAAAGGGUGCGCAGGCGGAAGAUCAAGUCAGCGGUAAAAUUGAGAGGCUCAACCUCUGCGAGCCGUUGAAACUGGUGGGCUGGAGUGAGCGAGAAGUAGGCGGAAUGCGCGGUGUAGCGGUGAAAUGCAUAGAUAUCACGCAGAACUCCGAUUGCGAAGGCAGCAUACCGGCGCGAAACUGACGCUGAGGCACGAAAGUGUGGGUAUCGAACAGGAUUAGAUACCCGAGUAGUC
rnacentral:rRNA from 1 species